CCAGACUCCUACGGAGGCAGCAGUGGGGAAUAUUGCGCAAUGGGGGCAACCCUGACGCAGCCAUGCCGCGUGAAUGAAGAAGGCCUUCGGGUUGUAAAGUUCUUUCGGUAGCGAGGAAGGCAUUUAGUUUAAUAGACUAGGUGAUUGACGUUAACUACAGAAGAAGCACCGGCUAACUCCGUGCCAGCAGCCGCGGUAAUACGGAGGGUGCGAGCGUUAAUCGGAAUAACUGGGCGUAAAGGGCACGCAGGCGGUGACUUAAGUGAGGUGUGAAAGCCCCGGGCUUAACCUGGGAAUUGCAUUUCAUACUGGGUCGCUAGAGUACUUUAGGGAGGGGUAGAAUUCCACGUGUAGCGGUGAAAUGCGUAGAGAUGUGGAGGAAUACCGAAGGCGAAGGCAGCCCCUUGGGAAUGUACUGACGCUCAUGUGCGAAAGCGUGGGGAGCAAACAGGAUUAGAUACCCUGGUAGUCCACGCUGUAAACGAUGUCGAUUUGGGGGUUGAACUUUGAGUUUGGCGCCCGUAGCUAACGUGAUAAAUCGACCGCCUGGGGAGUACGGCCGCAAGGUUAAAACUCAAAUGAAUUGACGGGGGCCCGCACAAG
rnacentral:rRNA from 1 species